AGAGUUGAUCAUGGCUCAGGAUGAACGCUGGCGGCGUGCUUAACACAUGCAAGUCGAACGGAGCGUUUUUGAAGGAGACUUCGGUCAACGGAAGCUAAAGCUUAGUGGCGGACGGGUGAGUAACGCGUGAGUAACCUGCCUUUCAGAGGGGGAUAACAUCCGGAAACGGAUGCUAGUACCGCAUAAAACAGCAGCACCGCAUGAUGCAACUGUCAAAGAUUUUAUCGCUGAAAGAUGGACUCGCGUCCGAUUAGGUAGUUGGUGAGGUAACGGCCCACCAAGCCGACGAUCGGUAGCCGGACUGAGAGGUUGAACGGCCACAUUGGGACUGAGACGCGGCCCAGACUCCUACGGGAGGCAGCAGUGGGGAAUAUUGCACAAUGGGCGCAAGCCUGAUGCAGCAACGCCGCGUGAGGGAAGACGGUUUUCGGAUUGUAAACCUCUGUUCUUAGUGACGAAGAAGUGACGGUAGCUAAGGAGCAAGCCACGGCUAACUACGUGCCAGCAGCCGC
rnacentral:rRNA from 1 species